rnacentral:tRNA from 1 species
GCUAGAAUAGUUUAAAAAAAAUAACAAUUUUGUAAAUUGUAGUUGAGUUUAUCUUUUAGCU